UGGUACCAAUCCCAAGUCAGAAGUCAGG
rnacentral:piRNA from 1 species